UGGGGAAUCUUGCGCAAUGGGCGAAAGCCUGACGCAGCAACGCCGCGUGCGGGAAGAAGGCUUUCGGGCUGUAAACCGCUUUCAGCAGGAACGAAAAUGACGGUACCUGCAGAAGAAGCCCCGGCUAACUCCGUGCCAGCAGCAGCGGUAAUACGGAGGGGGCUAGCGUUGUUCGGAAUUACUGGGCGUAAAGCGCACGUAGGCGGACUGGAAAGUCAGAGGUGAAAUCCCAGGGCUCAACCUUGGAAC
rnacentral:rRNA from 1 species